GCAGCCAGUGCGAGCCUCGUCAGGUUCAGGAGCAGCCGGUGGAGUCGCCCGAUCGGUGGCCUAGAUUCGGCCCCGGCGGGUCGCGGCACCGCGGCGCAUCUGCACUCCUGCGAGGCUCUUGCCAACGGCGGUGGUCGGUGUUCGCGAGCGGGGUCGGGGAGGUAACUCGCCUGCACCUUUUCCCCUUCGGGGGGGGUCGGUGUCCCGGCGAGAACGUAUAGCCCCUCCGCGACGGACAUCGGCGACCGAGGCGACGGUCACUUUCCAUUUGACCUGACGACGUAGGACCCGUUUUCGGGCGGGUCUGGCCUCUCUCCGGGACGUCCGAUUUCUCGACCCAGGACUGCGCGCAGUGCUGGGACGCGUCUCUCUUCGAUCCGGGGAGCCAGGGCGCAACUG
rnacentral:sRNA from 1 species